AUUUUAGAUGAAUAUUAGCUGCCUUCAAAGACUUCUAAAAUACGUAUGUAUUAACCACAUACUUUAAAAUGAAUUGUUAUAUUUUUCAAUCAUUAUGUCAAUCAUUUAACAAUCUAAUGAAGUUCGUAUUGUAGAAUAAAAUAAUCACCUUUCAUAAAGGAUAGCAUCAUGUACUAUAAGCAAAUAUUGCUUACUCUUUAAUAUUUACCAAUUCUGGUUUUUUUUCAAGCUAUCAAAAUGCUAUUAGUAUGCUAGGCACGUACUAAACAGUGUUUAAAGCAUUUAGGAAGACAAGCUUUCUAACAGGAUUAAUUUUCCUAGUAUAAAUGUAAUAAAUAUAGACUCUUAUAAGUGAAAAUGUAUGCAUGAUAUCUGCUGCUUUAUUCUAGAUCGAUGAAGUACAGCAUUCUAUGUAACGCUUCUCCCCUUCUAGGGAGGAAGAAGAUGAUUCCAAAAACAUGGUCAUCUACCGCCAUCCCAUUCUUCGACACCGCUUUUGCAUCUGCAAAUGCACGCUGCUAUGCAGAAAUCAGGAAAGCAAAUAUCCUGAUCAGAAGUGACACACACAAUGAUCUAGGUUCAUCGCAGACACAUCCAAAGUGUCAUAAAGGAACCACCUACCAAAGUAUGUUUUUGUUUGUUUCUAGGAUAAGCUAACCAUGGUGAUGGGGGUGCCUCCUGGAUAGAGGGAACUGCAUCUGCAAACUCCCGAGGAGGAGGCACCAGAACCUCUUGGAUCUGCUGGGAAGACGGGGCUGUAGGAAGGGGGUGGGAGGAACAGAUGGAGAGUCACCUCCCCUGAACUCCACUUUCUUUCAAGAACACAGCACAGCAGAGUGCAAAGGAUGUGGGCUUCAAAGUCACAGAAAUGGGCUCAGGUUCUGAUUCCUGCUCACAUAUGUGUGAACUUGGGCAAGACAACUUCUUUGAGCCCAGUUUCUUCAUGUCUAAAAUGACAGGAGUAUGUACAACCUCAGAGGUUUUAUAAACAUUAAAUAAGGUAAAAUAUGUUAACUUUUUAGUGUAGUUUAAAUGUCUUGUAACUGAUCAAUUAUUGCUAUUACUGCCUUUCAGAGUGUCUGCUGUCAUAAUGGUCUAUUUUUUUCCUAUAUUUUAUCCCUUACAGUAUGGCAUGAAAGAGAGCAUUAUCCAAUCCUGGAGAAUGUCUGGGGCAUCAGAAUUUGGUGACUUGUUCACAGCUGCAUAGAGAAUCUAUAGUUAGAAGUGGACUGAAAUAUCCUGAAUUAGUAAGUUUCCAUGUGACCAGCACUCAGAACAGUGGGUGAGGGCUCAGUCCAGUGGAGUCGGAUUCAGACCCGUGCCCCUGCUGCUGCCUGAGGCAUGGUACCUGUGCUGUUAGGAUGGUAUAUAAGUGUGGCUGGCUGGGAUAUACUAGUUAAGAACAGUGUAUGUUUUGCUCACCUGACCCUUCCCUAAAACCAUGGGGACAUUUCAAGACUGCUUUCUCUGAUAUUUUUGCCACUAUUAUAAUGCAGUCCAUUAGGCAGAGUGCUUGAGACACUGUCUUAGUCCAUGUGUGCUCCUAGAACAAUAUAUCAUACACAGGUAGCUUAUAAACAACAGGAACAUAUUCCUCAGUUCUGGAGGCUGGAAGUCCAAUAUCAAGGCAGACUGGGUGUUUGGUGAGGGCCCGCCCUCCUCAUAGAUGGCACUUUCUCACCGAGUCCUCACGUGGGGCCCGCCCUCCUCACCCAUGGCGCUUUCUCAUUGAGUCCUCACGUAGGGCCCAUUCUCCUCAUAGAUGGCGCUUUCUCACCGAGUCCUCCCUGGAAGCCCAUUCUCCUCAUAGAUGGCGCUUUCUCACCGAGUCCUCACGGGGGGCCCGCCCUCCUCACCCAUGGCGCUUUCUCACCGAGUCCUCACGUGGGGCCCAUUCUCCUCACCCAUGGCGCUUUCUCACCGAGUCCUCACGUAGGGCCUGCUUUCUUCAUCGAUGGCUCUUUCUCACCGAGUCCUCACUUGGUGGAAGGUGCAAGGGAGCUCUCUGGGUUCCCUUUUUUAAGGACACUAAUCCCAUUAAUCAGGCUCCACCCUCAGGACCCCAUUACCUCCUAAAGGCCCCACCUCCUGACACCAUCAGUCUUGGGAUUAGGUUUUAGCACAAGCACUUUGGGGAGACACAGACACUGAGACCACAGCAGAUAGGCAGCACCAGUAUAACGCAGGCCAGUUGCUGGUCCCAGGAGAAACUGGAGGCAGAGAUGCCCAACCUUUUGGCUUCCCUGGGCCACACUGGAAGAAGAAAAAUUGUCUUGGGCCCCAUGUAAAAUACACUAACACUAACAAUAGCUGAUAAGAUUUUUUAAAAAUCACCAAAGAAAUACCAUGUUUUAAGAAAGUUUACAAAUUCCUGUUGGGUGCAUUCAAAGCUGUCCUGGGCUGCAUGUGACCGGCGGGCCACAGGUUGGACAUGCUUGGAAAUGGACAUCAAACAGAAACAGUCUGCACCUCCAGGAAGGAAGGGAGAAUUCGUGCUAAGAAGCUUUGAUUCACUCACACAUCCCAUGGCCAUUGCUUGGGUCCUCAGGUGCUCAGGGAACAGAGGGAGAAACUCUGUCCACAAGAAACCGGCAUUGUUUGGUGCAGUGUGUCCCAUGUGUUGUGUGCUCCUGGAGACUGGGCUGAGUGUAGGGUGGGGGCCACUCCCUUGAGGCUGGUUUAUGGAUGAAGGGGGCAGGGAAGGCACAUGUAAAGUAGCCAAGGUGCUGGGUCCCAGCGUGCUUGGAAUGUGUGAGGGGCCCUUCUGGAGCAGAGUGCAGGAGAGACAAGGGGAGAAGAGGCCGUUCUCAAUGCCACUUGCAGUACUCCGAACUCCGUCCUGCAGGCGGUGGGAAAUGAUUGACAAGCCUUGAGCAGGGGACCAACGUGAUCAGAUCUGUGUUUUAUGGAAGUGGCUAUGGAUGAUGGACAAAAAGAGUUUGGGGCCGUGGGUAGACAGACCAGUCCUGCCUGCCUCUGCCCACCCUCCCCAGUGGGCAGACAGGCAAGCCAGGGGCUUUCUGACCUUCCCUCCUUCUGUCAGAUGCUGUUGCUAAGCAGAGAGAUGAGAAGUGUCCCCCACGUCCAGCACUGCACCAGGUCCCGCAGGUGUGACGGUCCCUCCUGCAUGGUUUUCUUGCUUCAGAAGGUUGGGGCUGGACACAGCAGGGACCCAGGUGUGUGCAAGGUGCAGUGUUUGUGCUUUGGGAAGGACCUGCAGAUACAUCCAGUUCCUCAUUCCUGUCCUCAGAAACGCACUGGGGCACAGUGGCAGUGGGACAAAAACCUGCUGUGAUGUGAACCUCAGGGUGACUCAAAACCUGUUCGUGCUCCAUGUUCUGUUAGGCUGCUGUCAAUAAAUGAACAAUUUCUCGUAGAUGUCUUUGGAUAUUUUUAUGUCUGUACCUCCUCUUUCGGCAAUGAAUUCCAUAAGUUUACUCUUCACAAUAUCAAUUACUUUCUUCAAUUUGUCCUUAGUAUAAAUCAGACAUGUUUAAACAUGACUCUGAGGUUUUCUCUUUGUCCUUAUGGGCUGGGAGUUGACACCUUCAAAGUAAAGAAGGAGACUUUUGUUUUCUCUCAGAAUGAAUGCAUGUACUAUUUUAUUUUUAAUUGUGAUAAAACAUAUGUAACAUAAAACUUACCAUUUUAACCAUUUUAAGAGUGCAGCCCCGUGGCAUCGGGUAAAUUCACAAUUUUGUACAACCAUCAUCAUCACUGUUCAAUUCCAGAACUUUUCAUCAUCCUGACCAGAAUCUCUGGACCUGUUAAACACUAGCUCAUCAUUUCUCUCUUCCCCAAAACUCUGGCAAAAGCAACUCUAGUUUUUGCUUCCAUGGAUUUUUUAAAUUGACAUGUAAUAAUUAUGCAUAUUUAUGGGGUACAGUGUGAUAUAUUGUUGCAUGUGUACCAUGUGUAACCAUCAAAUCAGUCUAAUUAGCAUAUCCAUCACCUCAGUUCUCAUUUCUUUGUGUUGAGAGCAUUCAAAAUCCUCUCUUCUGCUGCUUGAAAACAUAGUCAAUUACCCUCUGAGGAGAUGAGAACUUCUUCCUUUGUAAUUGUAGGUUUGUUCGUGUUAACAAAGCUCCCCCCACCAGCACCCCACUCCCUCACUGUCUCCUGUAACCACUGUGCUAUUCUCCACGUCUGUGAGCUCUUCUUUAGCUUCCACAUGUAAGUGAGGCCAUGCGGUGUUUUUCUUUCUACAUCUGGCUUAUUUCACUUAGCACGAUGUCCUCCAGGUUCACCCAUGUUGUUGCAAAUGACAUGAUUUUCUUCUUUUUAAGGCUGAGUAGUAUUCCAGUGUGUAUUUUGCCACAUUUCCUCUGUAUUCACCUGCUGUUGCUGUCAACUUGGAUUGAAUCUGCAUUGUGGCUGUUGUGAAUAGUGCUGCAAUAAUUGGGCGGUGCAGACAUCCCUUCCAUAUCGAGAUUUCCCUCCCCUUUGAUAAACAUUCAGUGGGAGGUUUGUUGGACCAUAUAGAGGUUCUGUUCUCAGUUUUAGCUUUUAAGUGGCUGUACCAGUUUACACUCCCAUCAGUCGUGUGUAAGAGUUAAGGAAAGGCUUUGAGUCAGAGGAGACCAGGCAGGGCAGCUGAUUUUGAAUCCUACUCCGACACUCACUGUGGCCACAGCCAGUCCCUGCGGCUCUGGGCUUUUAAUCUCCUCAUGAGCAAAGUGGGGCUGCUUUCCCUUUCUUUUUAGUGUGUAGGUCUUUUUAAAGGAUUGAAUCAAUUAGUAAAUAUAAUUGUCUGUAUAAACUAAGCAGCUGGCUCUGUUAUUUUUUUCAUGCUGUUCAUAAUUUAGUUGACUUUGACCAAAUACACUCCUGGUUUUCCUUUCAGAAUCCCAUGUUUCAGGGACUGUGUUUAUGUGGUAACAUUUUGGGUUUUUGUUGUCUUAGAACCUGUCAUGGUGAAGUAGUGAUUACAACUUCAUUCAGAGUGUCACAAUGCAUGUGCCACCCUCGUUCUGACUCAGGAAUUUGGGUCCCAUUUAGUUGUCAUCUCUGCUUUCACAGAACCUGGGGCCCCCUUCAGUAGUGACUCCCAGGCUCUGCUGCUGAGUGGUCAAAAAUCAAUACAAUGCAUCAGAUGUAUUUCAUGUAUUUCUCUCUAUAUAUAUUCAAAUGGAAAUUCGCCUUCUUUCUUUACAGUUUUGAGGCAGCAUUAGCAAUAUUUCUGCUGUGCCGACGCCUCAACAGGCCUGGCUUUCAGCGGUGCACUCCCUCCCCCAGCUCACAGGUUUAAAACCUCCGUUACUGACAUGAUUGCGUAUUUAGAAAACCCCAUCUUCUCAGCUUAAAAUCUCCUUAAGCUGAUAGCAACUUCAGCAAAGUCUCAGG